AGUGAACGCUGGCGGUAGGCCUAACACAUGCCAGUCGAACGGCAGCACAGUAAGAGCUUGCUCUUACGGGUGGCGAGUGGCGGACGGGUGAGGAAUACAUCGGAAUCUACUUUUUCGUGGGGGAUAACGUAGGGAAACUUACGCUAAUACCGCAUACGACUUACUGGUGAUAGCAGGGGUUCUUCGGACCUUGCCCGAUUGCAUGAGCCGAUGUCGGAUUAGCUUGUUGGGGGGGUAAAGGCCCACCAAGGCGACGAUCCGUAGCUGGUCUGAGAGAAUGCUCAGCCACACGGGAACUAGGACACGGUCCAGAGUCCUACGGGAGGCAGCAGUGGGGAAUCUUGGACAAUGGGCGGAAGCCUGAGCCAGCCAUACCGCGCGGUUGAAGAAGGCCUUCGGGUUGUAAAGCCCUUUUGUUGGGAAAGAAAAGCAGAUGAUUAAUACCACGCUGUUCUGACGGUACCCAAAGAAAAAGCACCGGCUAACUUCGUG
rnacentral:rRNA from 1 species